rnacentral:rRNA from 1 species
GAUGAACGCUGGCGGCGUGCCUAAUACAUGCAAGUCGAGCGAACGGACGGGAAGCUUGCUUUUCUGAUGUUAGCGGCGGACGGGUGAGUAACACGUGGAUAACCUACCUAUAAGACUGGGAUAACUUCGGGAAACCGGAGCUAAUACCGGAUAAUAUUUUGAACCGCAUGGUUCAAAAGUUAAAGACGGUCUUGCUGUCACUUAUAGAUGGAUCCGCGCUGCAUUAGCUAGUUGGUAAGGUAACGGCUUACCAAGGCAACGAUGCAUAGCCGACCUGAGAGGGUGAUCGGCCACACUGGAACUGAGACACGGUCCAGACUCCUACGGGAGGCAGCAGUAGGGAAUCUUCCGCAAUGGGCGAAAGCCUGACGGAGCAACGCCGCGUGAGUGAUGAAGGUCUUCGGGUCGUAAAACUCUGUUAUUAGGGAAGAACAGAUGUGUGAGUAACUGUGCACAUCUUGACGGUACCUAAUGAGAAAGCCACGGCUAACUACGUG